AACGAACGCUGGCGGCAUGCCUAACACAUGCAAGUCGAACGAGACCUUCGGGUCUAGUGGCGCACGGGUGCGUACCGCGUGGGAACCUGCCCUUAGGUUCGGAAUAACUCCCCGAAAGGGGUGCUAAUACCGGAUAAUGUCUUAGGACCAAAGAUUUAUCGCCUUUGGAUGGGCCCGCGUUGGAUUAGCUAGUUGGUAGGGUAAAAGCCUACCAAGGCGACGAUGCAUAGCUGGUCUGAGAGGAUGAUCAGCCACACUGGGACUGAGACACGGCCCAGACUCCUACGGGAGGCAGCAGUAGGGAAUAUUGGACAAGGGGCGAAAGCCUGAUCCAGCAAUGCCGCGGGAGUGAUGAAGGCCUUAGGGUUGUAAAUCUCUUUUACCCGGGAUGAUAAUGACAGUACCGGGAGAAUAAGCUCCGGCUAACUCCGUG
rnacentral:rRNA from 1 species